rnacentral:lncRNA from 1 species
UCUUCUCUGGCUUCUCUCUAGGCUAUUCUGUGAAAUCCCAACGGUAACUUCUUGCCGGAUUCUCUUGGCAGAGAAGCUGAGAUGAGCAUCACCAUUGAUCUCUUUGGUCCAGCAAUAACGCAGCCCCCAGACCUUCCCGAUCCAAACAAAUACAAUCCUUCUCUUCACAAACAACCCCAAAUCCCCAAUACAACGAACUAUCAAUUUCCACAAGACUCCCUCCAUACUUCGACUAGCAAUACUCCCGGCACCAGCGCUCCUAGCGGUAGAGAUAAAAGCGAGCAAUUCUCUUACGCUGGAGUACUAACAACAUCAGCUCACAAAAGGGGAAAAAUACGUCUUCCCCACAGAAAUUAUGAGUUCGACAAGGGCAAACCGGUCAUCGUAUUCAC